AUGGUGGUAACGGGUAACGGGGUGUUAGGGCACGACACCGGAGAGGGAGCCUGAGAAACGGCUACCACAUCCAAGGAUGGCAGCAGGCGCGCAAAUUACCCAAUCCCGACACGGGGAGGUAGUGACAAUAAAUAACAAUACGGGGUUCUUUAGGAUCUCGUAAUUGGAAUGAGUACAAUUUAAAUCUCUUAACGAGGAACAAUUGGAGGGCAAGUCUGGUGCCAGCAGCCGCGGUAAUUCCAGCUCCAAUAGCGUAUAUUAAAGUUGUUGCAGUUAAAAAGCUCGUAGUUGAAUUUCGAGAUCGGCUUACUGGUCGUGCUAUUGUACGUACUGGUAUAAUCGGUUUCUCCUUUCUGACGAACUAUAAUGCCAUUAAUUUGGUGUUUUAGGGAAUCAGGACUGUUACUUUGAAAAAAUUAGAGUGUUUAAAGCAGGCUCACGCUUGAAUACAUUAGCAUGGAAUAACGGAAUAGGACGUUUGAUUCUAUUUUGUUGGUUUCUAGGAUCGACGUAAUGAUUAAUAGGGAUAGUUGGGGGCAUUAGUAUUCAAUUGUCAGAGGUGAAAUUCUUGGAUUUAUUGAAGACUAACUACUGCGAAAGCAUUUGCCAAGGAUGUUUUCAUUAAUCAAGAACGAAAGUUAGGGGAUCGAAGACGAUCAGAUACCGUCGUAGUCUUAACCAUAAACUAUGCCGA
rnacentral:rRNA from 1 species